UUCAAGAGUGUAUGCCAUCUACC
rnacentral:piRNA from 1 species